rnacentral:rRNA from 1 species
GGGGAAUAUUGGGCAAUGGACGCAAGUCUGACCCAGCAACGCCGCGUGAAGGAAGAAGGCUUUCGGGUUGUAAACUUCUUUUAAGGGGGAAGAGUAGAAGACGGUACCCCUUGAAUAAGCCACGGCUAACUACGUGCCAGCAGCCGCGGUAAGACGUAGGAUGCAAGCGUUGUCCGGAUUCAUUGGGCGUAAAGAGUUCGUAGGUGGUCUGUUAAGUUUGGUGUUAAAGAGCGGGGCCCAACCCCGAUAGUGCACUGAAUACUGGCAGACUUGAGUGCGGUAGAGGUAAGUGGAAUUCCAAGUGUAGCGGUGAAAUGCAUAGAUAUUUGGAAGAACACCGGUGGCGUAAGCGACUUACUGGGCCGUAACUGACACUGAGGAACGAAAGCCGGGGUAGCGAAUG